GGAUUAUAGCUCAGUGGUAGAGUGCUUUUCCAGCAUAGAUGAGGCACUGGGUUCGAUUCUCAGCACCA
rnacentral:tRNA from 1 species